ensembl:lncRNA
UCGCUAUAGACCAAUUUUUUAUUUGUAAACAUUCGGAUGCGCGCGCAGGGUGGUGGCAGAAAACAGCGAAAGGGUAGUUAUUUAUAACGGCAAAAGGACCACUCGGAUAAUAAUACAAGUAGCCUAGAUAGAUUUUUAAAAGAUUAUAGUUAAUAAUGAUUAGAUCUGAUUAGUAAAAUGUUUUCGACAUAUUUCAAUAGCCUGUCACCCAGUGAUAAACACUGUUAUUUAGCCAAAUUGACGUUAGUGGGCAGUGGGAUACGUCUUCCAGAUCCGUUUGCAAUAGCACCUUGUCAAUGGUUAAAUGAUGAAACGAAAUGGCCUAGCAUCCAGUGGCCAGAGAUUUAUAAUUACCUAAUCGAAACUCCAAGUGUAUAUACCCGGGAGAAGCUAAAAGCGUACAAGUCUCUGGAUGCUUACAAUUUUGUUCUGUGUGGUCAUGUCCAAGACAUACUAUGGCAUGAUUACAAUGUUCAAAACUUCGUUGUGAUGAAGACGGAGGUUCUGCCUAGCCAAAGACAGGGAAAGAAGACAGAAUUGUACAAGGCCUGGGUUAUCGUCAACAAGACCAACAACUGUAUUCUUACUGCGAACUGCACCUGUAUGGCUGGGUUAGGGUCAUGCUGCAGCCAUGCAGCUGCACUAAUGUUCAAAGUUGAGGUGUGGGUCAGGAUGGGAAAGACGGAGAGGUGUUGUACUUCAGGGACAAAUAUGUGGAUCCACACAUCCAAGAGAGAGGUGAAACCAGCCAGACUAAGCGAGAUCUGCUUCAGAAAGGCUAAAAGGACAGACACCCAACUGAAGCCAGUCAGAGUAAAGCGUAGACAGAAUAAUGUAAACGAACUGACAGAUGAAGACAUUGCGGAAUUGAAACUACUGGCACCUAACGCAGCUGUACUCACUACCAUGGAACUCAGUGACACAGAUUCCGCAACAGAAUCUGACACAGAGGCCGGGGACCUCCCAGAGCCACUAGUCGCUCUGUAUGAUGCCAAUCUGAGAUGCCUCUGCAAAAAUCAACUACAAGAGAGGAGUGAAGAGACUUUUGAAAAACUGAGGAUGGGGUUAACUAAUGAGCAGUGUGUAAACCUUGAGCUUACAACUAAAAAUCAGGCACAGUCUCAGGCCUGGCACACACACAGAAAUGGAAGGAUAACAAGCACAACCCUACAUCGUGUAUACACUGUAGUAACCGAAACAGCUAAACUAAACCUUGUAAAACAGGUAAUGCACUACAAUAAACAAGACUUGUCCCAUGUGCCAGCAGUACUUUGGGGAAGAGAUAUGGAGGACACAGCCAGAAGACAAUACACAGAAAUAAUGAAAGCACAACAUUCCAACUUUGAAGUGGAGCUUUGCGGUCUUGUUGUGC